UUGAUUCAACUUUUUUCUCGACAGGUACACGAAGGAAUAUGUUUGCUAGCUUCAUAUGCUACUACUUAUUUGUUUUAUUUUUAUAACGAUGUAAAUUGUUGUCAAUGGUUAAAGUAAAUCAGUAGUGAAUUGCUGGCAAAUAAGGUGAUGCCCUACAAAACAACAAACAUUUUGCAAACAGGUGAAUUUAGAAACGGACGCAGUUUCUAUAUUCGAUUUUGUUAACGCCUAGUCAACUGAGAAUUUCGUACAAGACUCCACAAUCAUAUGAGCAUAUGUAUUUCCUUUGGAUAUGGAAUUAAUUCUUUGCAACAAAGAAAUUGUUAAACAAUACACAGUAGUUUUAGAUAUGUUACAAUGAUGAACUAGUCUGUUGCUUCGAGGGUUGAGAUGUACUUGCAAAGCUUUAAAGCAGUCGAGCCUUAGUGCAUAUCUACACCUGUAAGUUUUUUUCUUCAUGCCAGAAAUACUUAACAGUGUAGAUACUCCCUAGGGCUUGGUGGUAUUGCAUUGUUGUGGAAACAUGUCAGUUGAGCAUCUUUGAGCCUCCCAUCGCCCAUCGGCAAUGUAUAUAGCUCCAAGAAAAAGUAGGUUUAUGCAAAAGCAUGUGUGUUCUACUUGAUUCGCCUUUUUUCUCGACAAGUACAUAUAUACAUGCUAAAUGUACUACACUUUAUUAUUUGAAUUUUUAUAACCAUAGAAAUUUUCAUCUAUGCUCGCAAUGGGCCAAGGCGAAAGCCACAGGGUUAGCUAAUUUCCUGCCUGAAUAGUUGGCUUGCUUGUGUUUUGUCUGAGCAACCCAUGUCUUCUGCUUCGGUCGUCUCCUACAUGUUGGCUUGCGCAGGUGCUCUUGUGUAACCAUUCCUUGUACUCCCUUGUGAAUUAUCAUAUGUUACUAAUACGUCCUGUAAAUCCAGCAACUGGUGCAAUUUUUAUUUUUGGUUUUGCUAAUUGCGACUCAACUCCGUACAAGAUUCCACAAUUUUAUUAGCGUCUAUAUGUAAUCACUUUUAAUGGAAAACCGAGAAAUAAUAUGCAAUAGUUGUGGAGAUUUUAGAAUCGCGAGUAAGUUUGUUGCUUUGGACUGAAGAUUUACACUAGCAAAAGACAAGAUGUACGCAAAAAUCUUUAACCACUAAAGCCUUAGUGAAUAUCUACACUAGUAAGUUUUUCUUCAUGUUGGAAAUGCUUAGCAUUGUAGGUACUCCCUAAGGCUUGGGUGGUAUUGCAUUGUCGUGGACACUUGAUCAUCUUUGGUCUCCCAUCGGCAGUCUAUAUCUCGAAGAAAAAUAGCUGAUGAGGACAUCACUAUUAUAGUCAUACCCAUAGCCCUUGCUACUUCGCAUAUGGGACCGAUUACUAGAGCUCGUGCGCGCCAACGAAAUUAUCAGGAAUGAAGGCCCUAACAUGGAUAAGAGGGAUGAACAUCGGAGCAUGAUCAAGCAUGGAGAUGAAGGGGCACGCUAAGGGAACAAGAACGGAGUUUCCAGUGGAGAAUUCAGCAGUUUGAAGCCACCAUGAUGACAUAUGAGGACAUGGACGAACUAUAGAAGAUGACCUUUUAUAAAUUUUGUCCAUAGCUUGUUAUAUGUGCUGUGCCACCUCAUUUUUGCGCCAAGCCCUUGUAAUUUGAAAAAUACUACUUCAUAGGCUGUUUUUAGAGUCUGUACUGUAGGGAGAACGACUUAGGAGGGAUUUUAGCCCCACCUUGCCAAAGGUGGAAAAAAUUCCCUCUUCCCCCUAUAAAUACAGCCCUCAGGGCGUCGUUUACACUUGGGUUUUGUUUAGAUUAAAGUUUGCCAUGGCUUGAA